CCCUGAUAGCUCAGAUGGUAAAGAAUCUGUCUACAAUGCAGGAGACCUAGGUUCAAUUCCUGGAUCGGGAG
rnacentral:tRNA from 1 species